rnacentral:rRNA from 1 species
UUUAACGGCCGCGGUAUAUUGACUGUGCAAAGGUAGCAUAAUCAUUAGUCUUUUAAUAGGAGGCUGGUAUGAAGGGUUUAACGAGGUGUUAACUGUCUCAUUUAAUUUAGUAUUAAAAUUUAGCUUUUCAGUCAAAAGGCUGAAAUAUUAUUGGGGGACGAGAAGACCCUAUAGAGCUUUAUAAUUUAAGUUAAUAUAAUUGUGGUUAAUAAUUAUUAUUUAUAGCUUUAAUUAUUUUGUUGGGGUGACAAAAAUAUAUAAUUAACUUUUUGAUGUAAAUAACAUUGAUUUAUGUUUAUUAGAUCCAAUUUUAUUGAUUGUUAGAACAAGUUACCUUAGGGAUAACAGCGUAAUCUUCCUCCAGAGUUCAUAUUUACGGGGAGGCUUGCGACCUCGAUGUUGGAUUAAGAUAAUAAUUAGGUGCAUCCGCUUAAUAUAUAGGUCUGUUCGACCUUUAAAUUCUUACAUGAUCUGA